UUUCAAAUAGUUUAAAAAUUU
rnacentral:piRNA from 1 species